CUAACUCCUCCAUUUGGUGGGGUCCUCUCCUCUUCUUCUUUAACACUGUUGAAACCCAAUUUGUUUUUUUUCUUUAUUAUUUCCUCCUCUUGGCUCAGAUUUGACCAAAACACAUAGCCCAGUUUCAGUCUGCAACAAUGGAUGUCAUGACAGAAGGCAUAAGACGUGUCACUUCCCCUGCACCAUUACAAAGCCUCUCUUUCUCUCUUUGCUUCAAUGUGUGUGUUUUUAGGAAGAGCAGAUUGUGAUAAUGAAGAGGGAGAAGAAUCUGGGUUUUGUGAGUUGGAUCUGAAAGUGCUUAUGGAGAUUAUUCUUAAAAAAUGGUGAUUAAAGAAAUGGUUAAGAGGAGCAGCCUGGAGAUGGUUAAUGUGUAAACAUGUACCAAUGUAUUUUAUAAUGAUGACCCACUAAUCAGUAUAUAAUUAAAAUC